rnacentral:rRNA from 2 species
ACAUGCAAGUCGAACGAACUCUGGUAUUGAUUGGUGCUUGCAUCAUGAUUUACAUUUGAGUGAGUGGCGAACUGGUGAGUAACACGUGGGAAACCUGCCCAGAAGCGGGGGAUAACACCUGGAAACAGAUGCUAAUACCGCAUAACAACUUGGACCGCAUGGUCCGAGUUUGAAAGAUGGCUUCGGCUAUCACUUUUGGAUGGUCCCGCGGCGUAUUAGCUAGAUGGUGGGGUAACGGCUCACCAUGGCAAUGAUACGUAGCCGACCUGAGAGGGUAAUCGGCCACAUUGGGACUGAGACACGGCCCAAACUCCUACGGGAGGCAGCAGUAGGGAAUCUUCCACAAUGGACGAAAGUCUGAUGGAGCAACGCCGCGUGAGUGAAGAAGGGUUUCGGCUCGUAAAACUCUGUUGUUAAAGAAGAACAUAUCUGAGAGUAACUGUUCAGGUAUUGACGGUAUUUAACCAGAAAGCCACGGCUAACUACGUGCCAGCAGCCGCGGUAAUACGUAGGUGGCAAGCGUUGUCCGGAUUUAUUGGGCGUAAAGCGAGCGCAGGCGGUUUUUUAAGUCUGAUGUGAAAGCCUUCGGCUCAACCGAAGAAGUGCAUCGGAAACUGGGAAACUUGAGUGCAGAAGAGGACAGUGGAACUCCAUGUGUAGCGGUGAAAUGCGUAGAUAUAUGGAAGAACACCAGUGGCGAAGGCGGCUGUCUGGUCUGUAACUGACGCUGAGGCUCGAAAGUAUGGGUAGCAAACAGGAUUAGAUACCCUGGUAGUCCAUACCGUAAACGAUGAAUGCUAAGUGUUGGAGGGUUUCCGCCCUUCAGUGCUGCAGCUAACGCAUUAAGCAUUCCGCCUGGGGAGUACGGCCGCAAGGCUGAAACUCAAAGGAAUUGACGGGGGCCCGCACAAGCGGUGGAGCAUGUGGUUUAAUUCGAAGCUACGCGAAGAACCUUACCAGGUCUUGACAUACUAUGCAAAUCUAAGAGAUUAGACGUUCCCUUCGGGGACAUGGAUACAGGUGGUGCAUGGUUGUCGUCAGCUCGUGUCGUGAGAUGUUGGGUUAAGUCCCGCAACGAGCGCAACCCUUAUUAUCAGUUGCCAGCAUUAAGUUGGGCACUCUGGUGAGACUGCCGGUGACAAACCGGAGGAAGGUGGGGAUGACGUCAAAUCAUCAUGCCCCUUAUGACCUGGGCUACACACGUGCUACAAUGGAUGGUACAACGAGUUGCGAACUCGCGAGAGUAAGCUAAUCUCUUAAAGCCAUUCUCAGUUCGGAUUGUAGGCUGCAACUCGCCUACAUGAAGUCGGAAUCGCUAGUAAUCGCGGAUCAGCAUGCCGCGGUGAAUACGUUCCCGGGCCUUGUACACACCGCCCGUCACACCAUGAGAGUUUGUAACACCCAAAGUCGGUGGGGUAACCUUUUAGGAACCAGCCGCCUAAG